rnacentral:rRNA from 1 species
CCCGCUGAACUUAAGCAUAUCAGUAAGCGGAGGAAAAGAAAACAACCGUGAUUCCCUUAGUAGCUGCGAGCGAAACGGGAAGAGCUCAAAACCGAAUCUGGCGGUUUUUAAUAACCGUCCGAAUUGUGGUUUAUGGACGGACUCUACGGCCGCCGCGCCGCUUUAAUUCUGUUGGAACACAGGGCCAUAGAGGGUGAUAGCCCCGUAAAGGUGGCGGCGGUGGUUCAAAAGAGUCUACUCCCAGAGUCACACUGUUUGAGAGUUCAGUGUAAAGUGCCAGGUGAGUACCUGUUAUAGCUAGAUAUUCGUCGGAGUCCGAUAGCAUACAAGUACCGUGAGGGAAAGAUGCAAAGAACUUUGAAAAGAGAGUUAAAAGAACCUGAAAUCGGUAACGAGGAAGGGUUCGGAGCCUCAGCCGCCUCUGCAAAUUCUUUUGUCGGUCUCGGCACGAAGAGAUACCGCUGAAUAACUCUUUUGUUGUCGACGGUGUUCGGAAUGUCGGAUCCGGCGGAAAUACUUUUGCAUGCAAGACAGAAUUGAUUCUUGCUCCCCGAUUGGGAUGUCGGAAGGGUGGUUUCGGGAUCUUAACCGGUUCUGAAGUCCGAAAUUCGAUUUCUUCCGGGUAGCGAUGGCCGGUUUCGGUUCAGCGCCUUUUGUCUGGGUCCAGUUGUCGGCAGCGGUAGGUGCCUCGCAGCUACAAGAUUUCUAGUGUCUUUGGUGAACCGCCUUUCAUACGGUUACAGCCUAUGCUGAACUAUUAGUGCUCCGCCGAGGUAUUCGAACCUCCCGUCUUGAAACACGG